CAGUCGCCGCGGUAAUACGAAGGGGGCUAGCGUUGCUCGGAAUCACUGGGCGUAAAGGGUGCGUAGGCGGGUCUUUAAGUCAGGGGUGCAAUCCUGGAGCUCAACUCCAGAACUGCCUUUGAUACUGAAGAUCUUGAGUUCGGGAGAGGUGAGUGGAACUGCGAGUGUAGAGGUGAAAUUCGUAGAUAUUCGCAAGAACACCAGUGGCGAAGGCGGCUCACUGGCCCGAUACUGACGCUGAGGCACGAAAGCGUGGGGAGCAAACAGGAUUAGAUACCCCAGUAGUCCCUGUCUCUUAUAC
rnacentral:rRNA from 1 species